GUUUAUUAAAACCUAAACAAAUCACCGAAGUAUCAUCUUCUCUUCUUUCCAGGUUAACAAACAUUUGGUACCAUUUAAGGAUUUUGGUAUCACAUCAGGUUGCUUGAUAAAUUGCUUAAAAAAAGACAGAUUUACUUGAUAGAGUUGUGUGUUUUCUUGGUUAGAUUAUGGUAUUGAAAAACUGCAGCAUACAUUGCCAUAUAGGUGAGCUAGGGAAUGAAAUACAGUAUCCUAAUCUGCCCGUCUUGUAGCAGUUGACACUCGUUGCAGCUGCUUCACCCAACUUAAUGCUUCACUUGACUCAAGAGAAGGAUACUAGCUAGCAUUAAGGUUGUGUAAUAGUUAUUUACGGUUGACUAGUAGUGCUUAUGGUGUAGCCUAACAUUGCCAUGACUGUCUUUUAUAGUAUGUUCAUUAGGCUUGGCUGAAAUACUUUCUUUGUCUCUUUUUCCUUUAAUUACCUUUCAGGGAUAAGUAAACAUUAAGGAUUUCAAGGAUUUGGAAUCACAUCAGGUGAGUAUGACACAACAAUAUGAUUCCUAUGUUAUUUGCUUUCUUUGUCUCGUUGGCGUUGAUUUAUAUGAUAUAGAGUCAAUUCACUUGUUUGUGCACAAGUUUCGUGUGUUUUUAUUGUUAAGCAAACACUGUAGGUUUCUCCGUUGUUAUGGUAAACCGCAGGUUGAAGAAAUUAUUCAAGCCAGUUGGGUACAAAUGUGUGGAAAAGUAAAGAACAGAUUCUAGCUAAGGUUCCGAUUAGGGUUCCCUAAAAUGCUUGGAACAGUUUCAUCAACAAUGAGUUCAAAGAAACUUAGCUAAGAAAACAGAGAAUAAAAUGAAAUGCACAAUCCUCCACAUUCUUGUGAGGCGUACCUAUGCAAACAAAUGUUAUUUCCGUGUAUGUUUUAUUCGCAACUCAAUUCUAUGAGUGAUUUUAGAAUUAUAUUUUGCUAUUGUUAUACCACCAGUAUAAACUGAAAUUUGCAGGCAAAAGAGGAUGGGAUGAUGAUCGUGAAUACACCUCGAUUAAGGGUACUAUUCAAAUUCUUUUGAUAUUUUAGCACUAUACAGCUUCUUCUGAAUUUUAUUUCAACACUUCAGGAAAAUAAGUGGAAAGUAUUUGCUAAUCGUUUGUAUCGUUGUCUUGGACUCUGAUGUGUUUGCUAGUGGCCUUAGUCUUCUUUAGGAUGAAAGUAAAUUGUCUAAGACACCCACUGAAGUAGUUAUGAUUACUUAAAUGUCAUUUUAUUUUCUUUUGCUUUCAA